AUUGAACGCUGGCGGCAUGCUUUACACAUGCAAGUCGAACGGCAGCGCGGGCUUCGGCCUGGCGGCGAGUGGCGAACGGGUGAGUAAUGCAUUGGAACGUGCCCAGUAGUGGGGGAUAGCCCGGCGAAAGCCGGAUUAAUACCGCAUACGACCUGAGGGUGAAAGCGGGGGACCGAAAGGCCUCGCGCCAUUGGAGCGGCCGAUGUCGGAUUAGCUAGUUGGUGGGGUAAAGGCUUACCAAGGCGACGAUCCGUAGCUGGUCUGAGAGGACGACCAGCCACACUGGGACUGAGACACGGCCCAGACUCCUACGGGAGGCAGCAGUGGGGAAUUUUGGACAAAGGGGGCAACCCUGAUCCAGCCAUGCCGCGUGCGGGAAGAAGGCCUUCGGGUUGUAAACCGCUUUUGUUCGGGAAGAAAUCCUCUGGGCUAAUACCCCGGGGGGAUGACGGUACCGGAAGAAUAAGCACCGGCUAACUACGUG
rnacentral:rRNA from 1 species